rnacentral:piRNA from 1 species
UAAAAAUUGCCUCUUUGGACAGAACCUUC